GAACAGGCUCCCUCCCUCCCACCUGGCCCCACCACCCUCCGCUCGGGAAGAUACCCCGCUCCCCAAGAGGGUGAGCGCGCGCAGGCCACGCUGCCGAAGUGAGAGCUCCAGUCUUGGCUACAGAGUCUCGUCGCGUCACGGAGGGGCGCUCCACAGGUGGACCAGGAUUCAUACUGGGGACCUUUCCCGUGGGCUUCCUUCCUUUCUUUGCCUUUAGUUUGCCCAACACCAGCAGAAAAGCGGACCUCGGGGCCGGCUCUGCUCCUGGCCCUCCCUCAGCCCCUGGCAGGGCUCGUGGAUGGCGCGCCCAGACACUGUGACACGCUCGGGCUGCCCGGCGCUGCGGAAGUGGGGCGGAGCGUUGUUCUGUUUUGCUUUGCCCCCGUCUUAGCCUCCUAAUCUUUGACUGCCUUUCUUCAUGGCAAUCCCUAGAUUGACAGAUUUUUUUAAAUCACCUCACGAUGAUGGAGUUUAAUGUAAACGGUGCAGACCCAGGGUUCCCUGGGUUCCCUGCCAAGCGCGACCCCAGUGCCCUGGGGGGUGGGCUGCUGACCCCCCAGCCCUCACUCCAGCAGAAGGCUGCUGCUCAUCCCGGAGAGUCGGCAGCCACACCCAGAGCUGGAGCAGGAAGUCGAAGGGGCCCGGCCCUUGUGUUUUUUGUUGUGGUGGUGAUUUACUUUAUUAAAUUGUUUCCUUUUCUCUUCCUCCUUAUUUUGAUGGACAGCAUCCUGAGCCCUGGCCUGUGCUCCUGUCAGGCACGUGCGUGUGGGGGGGCGCCCACACACCCCCAGACUUCAGGGUUUGCGUUUGGGUCUAGUUUAGAAGCUCCUUGAAAAGCAGGGCCAUGCUGCCAGGGUCUGCCUUCAGACUUUUUUUUAACCCCCUAGCGUCUACAGAAACGUCUCAAAGGAUCAGGUCUGCGCUUAGCUGUGUUCCGUUCUGUUUUCUCCCUCUCCUUAAAAAUCAGUCCAUGAGGAAAGGCAGAAGCUGUUGUGUGUGUGCUGCACAUGGGCCAGCUCUGUGCAGGUGUGAGGGUGUCAUGUGUGCAUGCACACACGUGUGGAGACGGGGUACGCUGCUCCUCACUUCAGCCCCAGCCCUGGUUUUCCUGUCCAUGCAGUUAGGGACUUAAUUUAAAAUUCUUAUUUUGUAGGGCCACCUUCCUCAAAUACACUGCUGCACCGUUCUAAUAAAGGCUCAUUUAACCCCCCCUCAUGUUGUGUGAAUAUCCGUGUUUAGAAGACAUUUUUGACAUGCAAUAGAAGACCUAGUUUUGCAAAAUGUUUGAAUUUUUUGUUGUCUAAAGCCCUAAAUUUCUCAUUGAUUUUUGUUUUGAGUGCAUAAUGAAGGUGGCCUGAAGGAGGGGAGGGCUGGAGAAUGGUGGCUUUCAUUCCAAGAUCCAGGGAUUUGGGGAAAAGGGGAAAUUGACCUUUGGGGGAGGGGGGAGUGGGGAAGGGUGUGUUUUUACACCAAAAAAUCAAGAUUAUGCAAGCAUUUCUAUUCCUCGCAUUUUUCUGUGUGCCUGGCAAAUAAAUACCUGUCUUAUACUACUCUGAGCUGUUAGCUCUCUCUGUUCGAUGACAUGGGCCAAAACUCCCAAAUCCUACCAGGAGUGCCCAGCUGGCAGACCCGGGCAAACUGACCUCAGUGCCAUGCAGCAACUCGGGCGUCUUGGCCAGGGUCACUUCUGCAGUGGGUGUGCCCAGGGCGGCUGCAGCCCCACAGGGCUUGACAAGGUCUGUGAUCCGGGGCUCAAAACCAAGCCACUCGCAUUGGCCCCGGAUCCUCGCCCCAUCACUCUCCACCAUGCUCAGGAUCCACCUCUCCUCACCUCAUCUGGCCAGACUUCUCCAGGCUACUGCCUAGACCUUGUGAGCUGAGUACAGACUGACCGCCGUGGGCAGAGGACGCGGUGGCUGGGCCCUGACCCGUUCUCUGCCUCCUCCAGCCCAGCAUUUGCAGGAACAUUCCCAUUGGUAGGACUUACUGUGACAUAAAUGUAGCUUUUUAAAAAGGGAUCAAGAAAAAAAGGGGGGGAUCCAGGAGGUGAGAUGCCUUAAUCUUGAUUCAUUUCCCCUGUCUCAAAACUUCUAUCCCCCUCUUUUUCCCUUUAGUUUCCCCUUUGCAUUGUCACUCCUAUAAGCCUCAAGUGCAUGGUUCUGUGGUGAAAUUUAUGAUGUUAUUAAGAAAGGGCAUUAAAUACCUUUCAAGUAUGGGAAGGAUGUUAACAUUAAAGGUAUUCUCCCAGCCCCAAAGCCCACCCCUCAAAAUGGGCCACGGUUCUGGGAGUCUGUAGGCUGAGAGGAUCUGGUUCCCAGGAGAACCAGAGAACGUGGGAGCCCCCAGUCCCAAAUGACAAUUGUAACUGCCCAGUAAUCUGCAGCAGGAACCCCCAGUGGCACCUGGAAACUCUUCAGAACGUUGGCUGUUACGUGGACUGGGGUGCAGGGCUCACCAGGCUCCCUUUCCCAUCUGAAAUGCCUGUGUGCGGAGGCCCGCAGGUGCCCGUGGGGUAACUACGUCCACUCAACUGCCCAUGGCUCUGGCCAUCCCGACUGUUGUGGGGACCCUAGUCCUUAGGGUCCCGAGUGUAUCUUUUGGGACCCACACCGUUGACAAGGUCAAGAGUGACUGCUCUGGGAGGUAGGGGUGGGUGGUGGCUGUGGUCUGGAAGCAAAAGGUCACUGAAAGAGGCGACAGGACACCCCUGCAUGGCUCCCAAGUGGCCCACGAGUCACUGCUGUGGCUGGGGAGACACGGGAGGAGUCCUCUGUAUAAAUCAUACGUUCUCAUCACAGGCGUGGGUAAUGGAAAGACGGCCCUUGCUGCUCUGCCAUAGGGUUUUUCUUCGAUGCCUGGUUAUGCUGCACAUGGCGUUUGCCUAAAGAAGUUGGACUGAGUUUUUUUUUAAAGGACAGCUAAAGUUUUAUAAUCCUUAAAGAGUAAUAGUCACACCAGUGUAGGGUAUUUGGGAGGUGGUUUGAUUAGGGGGAGGAGGUUGUCACUUGUAUUUAUUGUGACUUUGAUGAUAAUGUUAAAAAACAAAGUGACCACCAAGGCGGCAUAGAAGUUCUAAUAAAGACGCUGGAAUCAGUGGCUAUGUGUUGUGUCAUGAAGUUUUAGAAUCUGAAGGACAAUAAAGAAACAGAUGAUGUGUUGGCUGUGUUUUCUUUUUGACUGCUCGGCCUUGGGGUCCCGCAUUGUUUUCCUCCCAGCUUUGGGGCAGCUUGGAGACGGGAUGGCAGGGUGAUCCUUUCUUAACAGGUAAGCGAAGGAUCAGACACUUGUUUCCAUGGGCUUCUUUCAGAUCUCGCUUGCCAUGGGGAUUUAGUCUUCCCCAGCUGGAUACUUGAGGUGAAUAGCUCAGUCGUGUCUGACUCUACGACCCUGUGGACUGCAGCACGCCAGGCUUCCCUGUCCAUCGCAGAGUGGGGUACGACUUGAGCGACUGAACAGAACAGAACUGGAUGCUGGGGCUUCCCAGGUGGUACUAGUGGUAAAGAACCCAUCUACCAGUGCAGGAGGCAUGAGAGAUGCGGGUUCAAUCCCUGGGUGAGGAAGAUCCCCUGGAGGAGGGCAUGGCAACCCACUCCAGUGUUCUUGCCUGGAGAAUCCCAUGGGCAGAGAGCCAGGCGGGCUACAUGGUCCAUCGGGUUGCAAGGAGUCAGACAUGACUUGGCACACCAGCACGUACCCAACUGGAUGCUAUGGCCUUACCUCUGGGUGGCGCUUUGUGGCCUGUUUACCCACAGGCCCUGGGAGUGCAUGCAGUGAGAAUGCAGUGAAUUCUGCCCCUUGGCUUGGGUUCUAGCCAUCAACAGCCUCCAUCCCAGAGUGGUGGGCUUUUCUGGCUCAGCAUUGGGUGUCUGCUGCAGGACAGAUGGUGCAGUGUGGGAGCCACCUGGUUUUGAAAACAAUUCCUGGUGCAAAUUUGUUUUCAGAGGUUGACACACUGUUUCAAAGGUUUACUCACAAAAUGAAACCUGUGAGCACUUUGAACUCCAAUAUGCAUAAAGCGUCCCCUUGUUUUCCUAGGUGCUUUUUUCAUUUAUCUAUCUAUCUAUUGCUGCCGCUUGUUAUUGGGGCAUCUCUGCCUCCAGCCUGGGGUCUGACUUCCCGCCCCUGUGGCCAUGGCCAGCCUGGUCUCACCUGGGCAAGGCACAGAACAGGUACAAGACACUACUGAAGUUAAACUCAAGCCUGUCACCUCUGACACGUGCUGAUUGCACCCACACCCCUCAACACUGAGAGAAGCCCAUUUCUGGGGUUCCACAGCCCCCUCUUCAAGUGCGUCUGCUGGAUCAGGCACCCAGGCUCCUCAACAGAGGGAGGGCAAGUCUUAAGCAUCUUCUCCAGAUAACAGAUGGGACACCACCAGCCUGGUUCCUGAGACCCUGUCCCCUCGUAACUGAGUCAUGGGUGUGGCCAGGAGGGGAAGGACCCCAGGCCCACUGCUCACACACAGUAAUCAGAGGGCACAACAAGGCACGUGCCCCACCACAGCCAUUGGGAGCACACCUUGUGAGGGGGGUGAGGAGGGAAAGAAGGGCGCCUCGUGAGGUGCCCUUUUUAGGCCAAGUCUUGCAUGAAGAGAAGGGAAAAGCGCUGGGAGUGGUGUCAGCCCAUGCAAAUGCUCAGAGGUGAGACCAAGCAAGGCAGGUUGAGGACAGAGGAAAGCGGUGUGCCUGGGCCUUGGGGCACAGGGAAAGGAUGUGAGCUUUUUCUUGAGUGAGCAAGACAUUUCCCUCUUCUCACCCUGCUUCUUGCUCUGUAAAAUGAGGUGGUUGGGACCACAUCCUAUUUGAAGGGAGUGGAGGGAGAGCUGGCGCAUAAUCCCCAAGGGAGUGGAGGGAGAGCUGGUGCAUAAUCCCUGAGAGCCAUGGAGAGGGAGGGAGCAGAAAAGGACCGCUCUCCUCAGGGACCCGGGCUCUGGUGGAGGCAGACAGGAGGAGCACCGAGGGAGCUGCUUCCCAUACACCCAAAUGACAACAGCCACUGUCACUACGCUCAGUAACCUCAUCACAAGCGAAAUGACCCCCAGCCUUCCCCAGACCCUGUGGGGUCCCUCUCCAGACACCAGACAUGUACCCCUUUACCUCUCUACCUCCAUUCCAGCUAUGGGAGUUCCUCGCAUUAUUCAGACACACCAGCUCCAUCCUCUCCUGGGAGCACUCCUGUUUCCAGUGUGUGAGUCCUUCCUUCAGCCCUCCUUGCUCACCCCCACCUGGCAUUUAGCAUAACUUAAAUUAUUUUAUCUUCACGCCAUUCUUACACUUGCCACGUGCUCCCUCACUGGGAGCACGGAUGGAUCCAAGCCACUUGGCUGUGUCCCAGUGCCUUGCACACAGCAGUUGCUCAAAAAAUGCCUGGAUGAACAGAGCAUGAAUGAAAGCAGGAGUGGGACGGCGGGUAUAGGGGUGGGGGGGCGUGUGUACCUGUGGCGAUUCAUGGUGUGAAAACCAUCACAGUAUUGUAAAGUG
rnacentral:lncRNA from 1 species